AUUGGAGCAAAGCUGGAGCACGCACUAUGUAAGGGUGAUUAGAUAUUAGUUGUGGAUGUAAAAGACAUGAAACGAAAUGAAUUUAAUUUGCUCGUACACGAAUAAUUCUUUCCUUAAACGGUUCAACACGCACGAGAAUCUAAAAGUGAACUAUUUUACCAAAGCUGAGCGUGAGCUCGCCUCUAUUCGCACGGACGAUGCGGCACUAACUGAGGCGAUAGUCGGAAUAAAGCGCUGAUAAGAUGUGAUACCAUCGCUAAACAUCGGCACCCGACUUCGUACAGUGGGUCAGCUGUCGGCUGGAAAGGAAGGGCAGCAGAGUAAACAGGAAUUGAGCGACGGACCUAUCCCACACGCUGGGGCGGGAUGAGCCAUGAUUAGAAAGAAGGGAAGAAAAACGGCAGAAAAAUAUCACGAUGCGCAUGCAUUGCAUUUUUGCUAUUGCCAAAGGGCAGUAUGGAAAUCGAGUUCGAAUCGAGUAGAGCCAAGCUAAUUCAAUUCCAAAUAUUUCCAAUAAGAUUUCAUUUCUCCAACUAGAACUUAACGACAACUGUUUAUAUCAAUAUUAUUUUAUUCAUAUUCUUCUGCAGUUUGGCUUUAUUUUACAGUUUACAUCUUCAUUUGCUCCAGCCCAUAGACCCUUCUCCUCCUCCUCCUCCUCCUCUGUUGUCCUGAAUUUUACCACUAUCAAUAAUAGGGUUCGCUGGCGGAUUCGAAGCUCCUUCUACUCCUGCAGCAACAAAAUUUACACCGUCUUGCUUUACUUCUUUCAUUAUUCUAUUCUGUUUCAGUUAGGUACCAUAAACGCUCGCUUUUUUAUCUGGUCACAAUAUUCAAUAUUCUCCCCUGCGAAACACUUUUCCAUUAGCGUGUCGAUAGUGUGAAGAAAGGAAGGAGGAAGAUAGUUUGGUCCACGUGUAACGAGAGUUCCAAAGGCGUGAACCUGUUUUGAUUCGCAAAAAUUGCACAACGAAAAGGGAAAGUGAGCGCUAGAAGCUGGAAGAGCUCAAACAAACAGCUUGAAUCACUUAUCCGAAUAAUCGGCUAUUGAACACGGGAGUCUACAGGAUCGAUUCAGCGCGCGCAACAAACCAACGGCAGCUAAAUAUACAUAUGGCGGGAGCAGCAGAAGCUAA